UUCUCUUAGUCAAUUUUUACUUAAUUUUCAAGUUCUGAAAGUCUCGAUGGCUGGGAUAUGGAUUUGAGCUCUGAAGCUUCGGUGGUUUGAAGCUUCAUUCAAUGGCUACGAUGGAUCUGAGCUGAAGCACACAUCAAUUUUUUUCUGUUUGCUCGAACUGAAGCACACUAAGAGAUUUAGCUUGUAGCUGGAGAAAUCGAUGUGGAAUUCUCUAUCUUAGGAUCAAUAAUUUUGAUGAGGUUCUUCAAACACAAGUAAAGUUCGUGACCUACUUUAUUAAAAGAUGUUUGGAAUUUACCGCUUGGGAAAAAAUUGUUGUGUCGUUUAAUAGUCGCAAUCAAUCAAUUGGAAAAGAGGGACGAAAACUUGCUAGCUUUCUAGGCAUCAUUUCUAGAACCACAGAUUUGACACAGCUAAAUGUGAAUGAUUGGCGAGUGUUUGAUGAUGAAGAAAAGAAAAAGUUGGUGGAGUUUGUGAAGGUAUAAAAUUAUUAUUCUUAACAAGUAUAUUUGUUUUUAUACAUGAUAUUAUCUUGUUAACUUUUGUCUAUCUUUUAAGAAAAAGUUCUCCAUUCCGAUAUGUGAGAAGAGUUUGUGAAAAAGUCAAUAAGAAAAAAGUGGAGAGACUAUAAAUGCGACUUGAAGGAUAUGUAUGUGACUAAAUAUAAGACCGGAGAUGCUUUGAUGAAAAACAGACCAAAUCAUAUACCAAGGUAUCAAUGGAUGAGAAAAAUCAAGAAAAGCUAGUUUCAUAAUUGUCAUGGAUGAGACUAGUCAUGUGGAAAAAUGCUCCUGCUGAAUUAAGCAAGCCUCAAAACAAUGAAAGUCUUACUAGACAAGUUAUCCGAUUUUAAAGUUUUAAGCUUUUGUUCUUAAAUUUUUGGUUUACACUAAAUUUGGUCAUCCUGUGUGUUGAUUUUUACUAGGUUUGAUGCCAAUAGUGGCAAUGAACAAGCAAUAUAAGCAUUGCUCAAGUUUUCAAGUGGUGACAAGUACUUUUUUUCUCACAAGUAAUCUUUUUUAUCAUCAUGAGUAUGUAUCUAAGUAUUUUUUCCUUUUGGUAAA